UACGUAGGGUGCGAGCGUUAAUCGGAAUUACUGGGCGUAAAGCGUGCGCAGGCGGCUUCGCAAGUCAGACGUGAAAUCCCCGGGCUUAACCUGGGAAUGGCGUUUGAAACUACGGAGCUGGAGUGUGGCAGAGGGAGGUAGAAUUCCGCGUGUAGCGGUGAAAUGCGUAGAUAUGUGGAGGAAUACCGAUGGCGAAGGCAGCCUCCUGGGCCAACACUGACGCUCAUGCACGAAAGCGUGGGGAGCAAACAGG
rnacentral:rRNA from 1 species